rnacentral:misc_RNA from 1 species
GAUGAAGAACGCAGCGAAAUGCGAUAAGUAAUGUGAAUUGCAGAAUUCAGUGAAUCAUCGAAUCUUUGAACGCACAUUGCGCCCGCCAGUAUUCUGGCGAGCAUGCCUGUUCGAGCGUCAUUUCAACCAUCAAGCCCCAGGCUUGUGUUGGAGCCCUGCGGCUGCCGCAGCCUCCCAAAACCAGUGGCGGGCUCGCUAUCACACCGAGUGCAGUAGUUUACUCUUCGCUCAGGGCGUGUGGCGGGUGCUAGCCGUGAAACCCCCAACUUCUCAAGGUUGACCUCGGAUCAGGUAGGAAUACACGCUGAACUUAAGCAUAUCAAUAAGCGGAGGA